rnacentral:misc_RNA from 1 species
UUAACGAUUAUAUAAGGACUCAGACAACACAAUCAAGAGCGUGUGUGGGUCUCUGACGGGCACGCACCAGCCGGGGGGCCGGUGGCCGAACGGACGGCCCGCCAAAGCAACAAAGUUGGAUAAGCUAGGGUGGGAGAUCUACCCCGGGGGGCAGGAACUCGAUAAUGAUCCUUCCGCAGGUUCACCUACGGAAA